rnacentral:piRNA from 1 species
UCUACUGUGGUAGGUGCCUCUAGGGCCUGGGU